rnacentral:rRNA from 1 species
UACGAAGGGGGCUAGCGUUGUUCGGAUUUACUGGGCGUAAAGCGCACGUAGGCGGAUUGGUCAGUUAGGGGUGAAAUCCCAGAGCUCAACUCUGGAACUGCCCUUAAUACUGCCAGUCUAGAGUCCGGAAGAGGUGAGUGGAACUCCUAGUGUAGAGGUGGAAUUCGUAGAUAUUAGGAAGAACACCAGUGGCGAAGGCGGCUCACUGGCUCAUACUGGACGCUGAGGUGCGAAAGCGUGGGGAGCAAACAGG